rnacentral:rRNA from 1 species
UACGGAGGGGGCUAGCGUUGUUCGGAAUUACUGGGCGUAAAGCGCACGUAGGCGGCUUUGUAAGUUAGAGGUGAAAGCCCGGGGCUCAACCCCGGAAUUGCCUUUAAGACUGCAUCGCUUGAAUCCAGGAGAGGUGAGUGGAAUUCCGAGUGUAGAGGUGAAAUUCGUAGAUAUUCGCAAGAACACCAGUGGCGAAGGCGGCUCACUGGCCCGAUACUGACGCUGAGGCACGAAAGCGUGGGGAGCAAACAGG